GCGAACGCUGGCGGCGUGCCUAACACAUGCAAGUCGAACGUGAAAAGGGAAACCUGAGUAAAGUGGCGUACGGGUGAGUAACGCGUAGGUAAUCUACCCCAGAAUCUGGAAUAACCUGCCGAAAGGCGGGCUAAUACUGGAUAGAGCGAGGGAACUCGUAAGAGAGUUUUUCGGGAAAGGGAGCCCGCAAGGGCCUUCGUUCUGGGAUGAGCCUGCGUCUCAUUAGCUAGUUGGUAAGGUAACGGCUUACCAAGGCGAUGAUGAGUAGCUGGUCUGAGAGGAUGAGCAGCCACACUGGAACUGAAACACGGUCCAGACUCCUACGGGAGGCAGCAGUGGGGAAUCUUGCGCAAUGGACGAAAGUCUGACGCAGCCACGCCGCGUGAGUGAAGAAGGCCUUCGGGUUGUAAAGCUCUGUCGGAUGGGACGAACAUCUUCAUAGUGAAUAGCUAUGAGGACUGACGGUACCAUCAAAGGAAGCACCGGCUAACUCCGUG
rnacentral:rRNA from 1 species